CAGCCGCCGCGGUAAUACGAGGGGGGCAAGCAUUGUUCGGAAUUAUUGGGCGUAAAGGGCUCGCAGGCGGUUUCUUAAGUUUGAUGUGAAAGCCCCCGGCUCAACCGGGGAGGGUCAUUGGAAACUGGGAAACUUGAGUGCAGAAGAGGAGAGUGGAAUUCCACGUGUAGCGGUGAAAUGCGUAGAGAUGUGGAGGAACACCAGUGGCGAAGGCGACUCUCUGGUCUGUAACUGACGCUGAGGAGCGAAAGCGUGGGGAGCGAACAGGAUUAGAUACCCGGGUAGUCCCUGUCUCUUAUAC
rnacentral:rRNA from 1 species